GAUGAACGCUGGCGGCGUGCCUAAUACAUGCAAGUCGAGCGAACGGACGAGAAGCUUGCUUUUCUGAUGUUAGCGGCGGACGGGUGAGUAACACGUGGAUAACCUACCUAUAAGACUGGGAUAACUUCGGGAAACCGGAGCUAAUACCGGAUAAUAUUUUGAACCGCAUGGUUCAAAAGUGAAAGACGGUCUUGCUGUCACUUAUAGAUGGAUCCGCGCUGCAUUAGCUAGUUGGUAAGGUAACGGCUUACCAAGGCAACGAUGCAUAGCCGACCUGAGAGGGCGAUCUGGCGUUACCAAGCUGUUAUUCGUUCAUGUCGCCGUAGGACGGCUGCUGUCGCUAAUCUUCCGCCUUGGGUGGUAGCGCGCCGGAGCCACUGCGCGUGAGGCAAGGAGGUUGACGGAUCGUAACACUCUGUUAUUGGGGAGGAACAUAUGCGUAUGUAACUGUGCUAAUCUUGACGGUACCUAAUCAGAAUGCCACGGCUACCUACGU
rnacentral:rRNA from 1 species